rnacentral:rRNA from 1 species
UACGUAGGCAGCGAGCGUUGUUCGGAGUUACUGGGCGUAAAGGGUGUGUAGGCGGUUCUUUAAGUUUGGUGUGAAAUCUCCCGGCUCAACCGGGAGGGUGCGCCGAAUACUGAGGGACUAGAGUACGGGAGAGGAAAGUGGAAUUCCUGGUGUAGCGGUGAAAUGCGUAGAUAUCAGGAGGAACACCGGUGGUGUAGACGGCUUUCUGGACCAUAACUGACACUGAGGCACGAAAGCGUGGGUAGCAAACAGG